rnacentral:lncRNA from 1 species
UCCCCACAUGUCAGUUGGAGAUGAUGUAUUACUGACCUUAUAGAAUUGUUGUGAGAAGUUAAUGUGAUAACAAUAGGUUGAACCUCCUGAAAUUCUCAUUUCUGUAGGUCAAAAAAUCAAAUAUCAGCAUUUUUUUAUGCUUCAACCUAUACACAUAAUGCACAGUGCACUUAAUAAACAUUAGCAAUGAUUAUUCAAGAGAUAUGGUUCCAAUUCCAGCUCCUUGGACAGUUGUGUGACUUUAGAUAAAUUAUGUCCCUCCUCUGGGUCCAACAUUUCAUCAGUCCAUUGAGGAGGCUGAACUGCCGUGGAGGCUCUUUAAAGUUCUUUCAUGCUUUCACAUUCCAUGUUUUCACUGGACGGCGUUAAUUUUCCCCAUCCCAGGGUGUGUAUAAACUUUUUAAAUGCAGAGAUGUUUGUCUGUCUUGUUUGCUACUAUUUUGUCGGUGCUUAGAACCGUCAGUGCCUGGCGCAUUGGAGGGGCACAAUUAGUCAUUGUGAAUGAAUGAAUAAAUGAAGUCAUAGUCAAGGCCGGAUAGGGCACGCAUAAUAGUCCUGAUAAUUCGGGUACCUUUUUGCCUUUCCUCCUUCCAAGGCUGUGGAGACCAAGAUGACGUGAAGUGUGCUAGACUGACUACCAACAGUGAGGGCUACUUGGAUUCACAAGACAAUGACGCCCUCCUCCACUUCAUUUUGCUUGAGGAGAGAGCUGGAGUUGCUUCUUGCACUGAAGAGUCAGCUAGCGCCUUCUCCUCCAUCUCACUGAGAGGUGGCCCAGAGCAGCUCACUCAUCUGUUGAUAAGGAAAUGAAGAUCUAAGUCAGACACUGUUGGGUGCCUGCUCACUGGCUUUUCCACCUCCAUGUCUUCCUUCAUAGCAGAAACCUGAAUGUGUCAGGCCUUCAAGCCAAGAGCCCUUGAUCUCAGGGAAGCUGUCCCCAGCCACUGUCACUAUUAGUCCCAGCCAAGCAUGAUAACCUCAUUUCUCUUGCCACAUUUAUGGGUGGCCACGUAGCCUAGUUUGGGUCAACGAGACAAAGGGCAAGUCUACUGGGGGGCUUCUGGGAGAGGUUUUCCUCUCCGAUCAAAGAGAGAGGCGAAUAAAGAGAAAGUCUCUUCUCUACA